UGAUUGGUGACCUAUAAAGAAAUAUAAGGAAUGAAGAGGAACAUGACUAAAAAAAAAUAAUAAAGAAAAAA
rnacentral:sRNA from 1 species